rnacentral:misc_RNA from 1 species
AAGUCGUAACAAGGUUUCCGUAGGUGAACCUGCGGAAGGAUCAUUACCGAGUUAGGGUCUUAUAGGCCCGACCUCCAACCCUUUGUUUACUACACCAUGUUGCUUUGGCGGGCCCGCCUUUUGGGGCCGCCGGGGGUUUACAAGCCCCUGGUCAGUGUUCGCCAGUAGCCUUAUUAAAUUCUUUUAUAAUUAUGUCGUCUGAGUAUAAAUAUAAAUCGUUAAAACUUUCAACAACGGAUCUCUUGGUUCUG